rnacentral:lncRNA from 1 species
CAGCCUUGUGUUGAUGUCUGAGCACUUGAAGAAGCAGUCACCUCUUCCAGACUUCACAGAAUAGCUUUGAUGAGGAAAGACUUUCACCAGCAGGUCUCACUGCUGCUGGAUCCACCCCAGAGUGACCUCAGACGGAAGCUGUGGAGACACCAAGGUGCCCAACAGAUUAGACAAAAGGCAGAUGAGGAAACAGACAGCACCAACUCCCUCUUGAGGGA